AGCCCUUCGGGGCAGAAACCGGCGCACGGGUGCGUAACGCGUAUGCAACCUACCUUUUACAGGGGGAUAGCCCGAAGAAAUUUGGAUUAAUAUCCCAUAAUAUUAUUGGAUGGCAUCAUUUGAUAAUUAAAACUACGGUGGUAGAAGAUGGGCAUGCAUCCUAUUAGCUAGUUGGAGUGGUAACGGCACCCCAAGGCAACGAUAGGUAGGGGUCCUGAGAGGGAGAUCCCCCACACUGGUACUGAGACAGGGACCAGACUCCUACGGGAGGCAGCAGUGAGGAAUAUUGGUCAAUGGUCGGAAGACUGAACCAGCCAUGCCGCGUGCAGGAAGAAUGCCUUAUGGGUUGUAAACUGCUUUUAUAUAGGAAGAAUAAGAUGUACGUGUACAUUGAUGACGGUACUAUAUGAAUAAGCAUCGGCUAACUCCGUGCCAGCAGCCGCGGUAAUACGGAGGAUGCGAGCGUUAUUCGGAAUCAUUGGGUUUAAAGGGUCUGUAGGCGGGCUAUUAAGUCAGGGGUGAAAGGUUUCAGCUUAACUGAGAAAUUGCCUUUGAUACUGGUAGUCUUGAAUAUCUGUGAAGUUCUUGGAAUGUGUAGUGUAGCGGUGAAAUGCUUAGAUAUUACACAGAACACCGAUUGCGAAGGCAGGGGGCUAACAGACGAUUGACGCUGAGAGACGAAAGCGUGGGGAGCGAACAGGAUUAGAUACCCUGGUAGUCCACGCUGUAAACGAUGGAUACUAGCUGUUUGGUUGUUAAGACUGAGUGGCUAAGCGAAAGUGAUAAGUAUCCCACCUGGGGAGUACGCACGCAAGUGUGAAACUCAAAGGAAUUGACGGGGGCCCGCACAAGCGGUGGAGC
rnacentral:rRNA from 1 species